rnacentral:rRNA from 1 species
UACGUAGGUGGCAAGCGUUGUCCGGAAUCAUUGGGCGUAAAGCGCGCGCAGGCGGUCCUUUAAGUCUGAUGUGAAAUCUUGCGGCUCAACCGUAAGCGGUCAUUGGAAACUGGGGGACUUGAGUGCAGGAGAGGAAAGCGGAAUUCCAUGUGUAGCGGUGAAAUGCGUAGAGAUAUGGAGGAACACCAGUGGCGAAGGCGGCUUUCUGGCCUGUAACUGACGCUGAGGCGCGAAAGCGUGGGGAGCAAACAGG